GUCCGCGUGGCCUAAUGGAUAAGGCUUUGAUUUCCCGAAUCAAAAGUUUUGCGGUUUUAAACCCUGUGGCGGACG